rnacentral:rRNA from 1 species
AGGAAUAACCUUGGGAAACUGAGAAUAAUGCCCGACAGAACAUUAUACCUGGAACGGUUUAUGUUUCAAAUGAUUUAUCGCCGUAGGAUGGGACUGCGGCCUAUCAGUUUGUUGGUGAGGCAAUGGCCCACCAAGACUAUUACAGGUACGGGCUCUGAGAGGAGUAGCCCGGAGAUGGGUACUGAGACACGGAUCCAGGCCCUAUGGGGCGCAGCAGGCGAGAAAACUUUGCAAUGUGCGAAAGCACGACAAGGUUAAUCCGAGUGGCUUCUGCUAAAGAAACCUUUUGCUAGUCCUAGAAACACUAGUGAAUAAGGGGUGGGCAAGUUCUGGUGUCAGCCGCCGCGGUAAAACCAGCACCUCAAGUGGUCAGGAUGAUUAUUGGGCCUAAAGCAUCCGUAGCUCGUUUUGUAAGUUUUCGGUUAAAUCCAUACGCUCAACGUAUGGGCUGCCGGGAAUACUGCAUAACUAGGAAGUGGGAGAGGUAGACGGUACUCGGUAGGAAGGGGUAAAAUCCUUUGAUCUAUUGAUGACCACCUGUGGCGAAGGCGGUCUACCAGAACACGUUCGACGGUGAGGGAUGAAAGCUGGGGGAGCAAACCGGAUUAGAUACCCGGGUAGUCCCAGCUGUAAACUAUGCAAACUCAGUGAUGCAUUGGCUUGUGGCCAAUGCAGUGCUGCAGGGAAGCCGUUAAGUUUGCCGCCUGGGAAGUACGUACGCAAGUAUGAAACUUAAAGGAAUUGGCGGGGGAGCACCACAAGGGGUGAAGCCUGCGGUUC